GUAGGGAAUAUUGGACAAUGGGCGAAAGCCUGAUCCAGCCAUGCCGCGUGAUAGAUGAAGGCCCUCUGGGUUGUAAAUAUCUUUUAUCUGGGAAGAAACUCCUCUAUUCUUAGAGGCCUGACGGUACCAGAGGAAUAAGCACCGGCUAACUCCGCGCCAGCAGCCGCGGUAAUACGGAGGGUGCAAGCGUUAUCCGGAUUCACUGUGUUUAAAGGGUGCGUAGGCGGGUUGAUAAGUCAGUGGUGAAAGCUCCGGGCUUAACUUGGAAACUGCCAUUGAUACUGUCAAUCUUGAAUGUCGUAGAGGUAAGCGGAAUGUUGCAUGUAGCGGUGAAAUGCUUAGAUAUGUUACAGAACACCAAUUGCGAAGGCAGCUUACUAUGCGAUAAUUGACGCUGAGGCACGAAAGCGUGGGGAGCAAACAGGAUUAGAAACCCCAGUAGUCC
rnacentral:rRNA from 1 species